ensembl:lncRNA
AGGUGGCAAAGUGUCAUUUAAAAAUAAUGUUUUUUUUUUUUUGAUUAAUGGUGUAUUUUAUUGUAGUAAUAAUCCUGAAACCACUCACACAUACAUGGAGCAUUAAUCCAGAUUAAUUUAGUCCUAAAUUCAGUGUGACAGUGUUGUGUGUGUGUGUUGUUAGUAAAUAAAACGUUUAGAGAUGAAUGUGUUUGGGGAGAUAUGUUAAGUGUGGUGGUAGGUGUGAUGGUGUGAUGGUAAGUCUGAUGGUGUGGUGGUAUGUAUGAGGGUAGGUAUGGUGGUGUGAUGGUAGGUGUAGGGGUGUGAAGGUGAGGGUAAGUGUGAGGUUAGGUGUGAUGGUAGGUGAAGGUGAGGGUAAGUGUGAGGUUAGGUGUGAUGGUAGGUGAAGGUGAGGGUAAGUGUGAGGUUAGGUGUGAUGGUAGGUGUAGGGGUGUGAGGUGAGGGUAAAAGUAAGGAAUAAUCCCCGUGUGUGGUGCUGUUACAGGAAACUAAUCACCCCACAGUGGAGGGAGUCUCAGCAUGUCCUGAUGUGUUUAUUCCUCUUACACCACUGCAGUCCAUCAUUACAGUUCUUUAUUAAUUAAAGACCGACACCUCAUACUUUUAUCCGUUUAUAGUUACAUCCUCACUUGUUAUAGCAGCGAUAAACACUUUCUCUUUUCCUCUCUCUCUCUUCUUUUUCCUCUCUUCUCUCUUUCCUGUUUUUUCCUCUCUUCUCUCUUUUCCUGUUUUUUCCUCUCUCCUCCUUUUCCGCUCUCUUUUUCCUCACUUAUCUCUUUUCCUCUCUCUUUUUCCUCUCUCUUCUUUCUUUUCCUCUCUUUCUUUUAUCCUCUCACUUCUCUUUUUCCUCUCUUCUCUUUUCUCU